AGUUCGGACUGGAGUCUGCAACCCGACUCCACGAAGUUGGAUUCGCUAGUAAUCGCGCAUCAGCCAUGGCGCGGUGAAUACGUUCCCGGGCCUUGUACACACCGCCCGUCAAGCCAUGGGAGCCGGGGGCGCCUGAAGUCCGGGACCGCGAGGACCGGCCUAGGGCGAAACUGGUGACUGGGGCUAAGUCGUAACAAGGUAGC
rnacentral:rRNA from 1 species